AUUGAACGCUGGCGGCAGGCCUAACACAUGCAAGUCGAGCGGAGCGGCGGACGGGUGAGUCAUGCCUAGGAAUCUGCCUGGUAGUGGGGGAUAACGUCCGGAAACGGGCGCUAAUACCGCAUACUAUCAGAUGAGCCUAGGUCGGAUUAGCUAGUUGGUGGGGUAAAGGCCUACCAAGGCGACGAUCCGUAACUGGUCUGAGAGGAUGAUCAGUCACACUGGAACUGAGACAAGGUCCAGACUCGUACGUGAGGAAGCAGUGGAGAAUAUUGGACAAUGGGCGAAAGCCUGAUCCAGCCAUGCCGCGUGUGUGAAGAAGGUCUUCGGAUUGUAAAGCACUUUAAGUUAGGAGGCGUUACCCGCAGAAGAAGCACCGGCUAACUCCGAGCCAGCAGCCGCGGUAAUUC
rnacentral:rRNA from 1 species